CCAUACUUGCCAUGCUAGGGCUUCCUAGAGUGAGUCCCUUCCAUUCUGAGGCUAUAUAUUCUUCUCAUGACAAGGAAAAAUAUGCAGCGGAAUUCUUUGAGACCCAGUUUAAUGAUGUCUUACAAGGAGAAAAAUUCUUCUGCACACAUUCAUCUCAGUCUGCAGUUCAGGGCCUUGCACACGUGCUCAUAAUGAAUGUCAGAUGAACCGGGAGAGUUAAGUCAGAGAGCAGAGACAACAGGAGAUGAAACUGCAGACUCUGAGGAUGUCAAGUAAACAGCUGCUAAUGCUGAGGUUUCGUUUAAAAGGCAAAGAAGCCUUUUCCUGCUUCUCAGUGAGGUCAGCAACACAAGUAGGACAUUCAGAUGUCCCAAGUUGCUUCCUGCAGCCUGGCAGCAGCUAUUCUGGAAGAAGAGUGUGUAUGCAUGAACAAGCAGCAUCCAAAACAUACAGAACCCAGAGCACAUAAGCCUGUAAAGGCUCUACGAAGGACUCCUUAAAAGGUCACACGGGGAAUUUGGAGAGCAUGGUGCUUGAAAGGCCCAUCCAGGAGUCAAUCUGCUUCAUAAACAAGUUGUCAGGGGGGCUUCUCUGAAGUCACACAAUAGACGCAAAGAACCAAAGCCUCUUAUGCCUAAUCCUGAUUAUCUUGGGUGACCCGUGGCUCCCUGCAGAUGCUUCUGUACGGACAGUGUAUGGAACAGACAUCACACCCAGGCUGACCUCGAAUUCUUGCCAUCUGCUUCUUUGAGCACGCGGUGCUGGUCUUUCUCCACGAGAUGAAAACGAAAACUGGUGCCAUGUUCUUCAGUAUCACGUUACACUGCCCUGCUUCUGUGUUCAUCAGGCUUGGUUCUAAGACUCAGGAAUGAUCUGAAUGAUGUCCCUUUCAGGGAAUUAUUUCCUGGAGGGGAUUUUCGACAAUAUCAGAGUUCCUCUAAGGAUCGAUAAAGAUUGCUGAGCAAAUGUUUCUGUGCUUUGAGUCGAGCAUCAGUUAUCCUAUUUAGCUAUUGUAUCCAAGUCUACCAAGGCUGCUGACUAUCUGUCCAAAGGAAAACUGUGACCUUGCUACAUCAUCUAAAGGAGGACAUUUUUAUUAUAUCAGGUGUACUAUGUAUUACCAAUACAGAAGUUUCCAUCAAAUAAUGCCAUCCUUCAAAAAUCAUUGUUUUGUCCCUGGGAUAAGUACAGAGAUCAUUAAUAUGUUCUAUAUUAAAUGCAGAAUAAGUUCUCCUUAUGAGAAAAUUGAAGAACAAUAUUUAUUUUUGGUCAAACCUAGAUCUAAACCAUGGGAAUUUUUAUAUUUAAUUCUGUUAUUAAUUUUAGCUGGUAAAUUGGGAUAUGAGCUAUUUUAGUGAUGUUUUAAAAUCAUUAUUUUAUUCUGUUACUUGGGAAAGCAGCUAAUUAUUAUUAAAUAU